UGGGGAAUCCUGCACAAUGGGGGCAACCCUGAUGCAGCGACGCCGCGUGAGCGAUGAAGCCCUUCGGGGCGUAAAGCUCUUUCGACCGGAACGAUAAUGACGGUACCGGGAGAAGAAGCUGCGGCUAACUACGUGCCAGCAGCCGCGGUAAUACGUAGGCAGCAAGCGUUGUUCGGAGUUACUGGGCGUAAAGAGUGCAUAGGCGGUUUUCUAAGUUCGGUGUGAAAUCUCCCGGCUUAACUGGGAGGGUGCGCCGAAGACUGGGAAGCUGGAGUGUGGGAAAGGCAGGCGGAAUUCCUGGUGUAGCGGUGAAAUGCGUAGAUAUCAGGAGGAACACCGGCGGUGUAGACGGCUUGCUAGACCAUAACUGACGCUGAGGCACGAAAGCGUGGGUAGCAAACA
rnacentral:rRNA from 1 species